AGCUACAGGCUUAACACAUGCAAGUCGAGGGGCAGCAUGGUCUUAGCUUGCUAAGGCCGAUGGCGACCGGCGCACGGGUGAGUAACGCGUAUCCAACCUGCCUUACACUCUUGGACAGCCUUCUGAAAGGGAGAUUAAUACAAGGUGUUAUCAUGAGUAAGCAUUUUCGCAUGAUUAAAGGUUUACCGGUGUAAGAUGGGGAUGCGUUCCAUUAGAUAGUAGGCGGGGUAACGGCCCACCUAGUCUUCGAUGGAUAGGGGUUCUGAGAGGAAGGUCCCCCACAUUGGAACUGAGACACGGUCCAAACUCCUACGGGAGGCAGCAGUGAGGAAUAUUGGUCAAUGGACGAGAGUCUGAACCAGCCAAGUAGCGUGAAGGAUGAAGGUUCUAUGGAUUGUAAACUUCUUUUAUACGGGAAUAAACGGAUCCACGUGUGGAUUUUUGCAUGUACCGUAUGAAUAAGGAUCGGCUAACUCCGUGCCAGCAGCCGCGGUAAUACGGAGGAUCCGAGCGUUAUCCGGAUUUAUUGGGUUUAAAGGGAGCGUAGAUGGGUUGUUAAGUCAGUUGUGAAAGUUUGCGGCUCAACCGUAAAAUUGCAAUUGAUACUGGCAGUCUUGAGUACAGUUGAGGUAGGCGGAAUUCGUGGUGUAGCGGUGAAAUGCUUAGAUAUCACGAAGAACUCCGAUUGCGAAGGCAGCUUACUAACCUGUAACUGACAUUGAUGCUCGAAAGUGUGGGUAUCAAACAGGAUUAGAUACCCUGGUAGUCCACACGGUAAACGAUGAAUACUCGCUGUAGGCGAUAUACAGUCUGCGGCCAAGCGAAAGCAUUAAGUAUUCCACCUGGGGAGUACGCCGGCAACGGUGAAACUCAAAGGAAUUGACGGGGGCCCGCACAAGCGGAGGAACAUGUGGUUUAAUUCGAUGAUACGCGAGGAACCUUACCCGGGCUUAAAUUGCAACCGAAUAUGGCGGAAACGCUAUAGCUAGCAAUAGCGGUUGUGAAGGUGCUGCAUGGUUGUCGUCAGCUCGUGCCGUGAGGUGUCGGCUUAAGUGCCAUAACGAGCGCAACCCUUGCCGAUAGUUACUAACAGGUUAUGCUGAGGACUCUGUCGGGACUGCCAUCGUAAGAUGUGAGGAAGGUGGGGAUGACGUCAAAUCAGCACGGCCCUUACGUCCGGGGCUACACACGUGUUACAAUGGGGGGUACAGAGGGCUGCUACCACGCAAGUGGAUGCCAAUCCCAAAAACCUCUCUCAGUUCGGAUUGAAGUCUGCAACCCGACUUCAUGAAGCUGGAUUCGCUAGUAAUCGCGCAUCAGCCACGGCGCGGUGAAUACGUUCCCGGGCCUUGUACACACCGCCCGUCAAGCCAUGGGAGCCGGGGGUACCUGAAGUGCGUAACCGCAAGGAGCGCCCUAGGGUAAAACUGGUGACUGGGGCUAAG
rnacentral:rRNA from 1 species